GAUGAACGCUGGCGGCGUGCCUAAUACAUGCAAGUCGAGCGAACAGACGAGGAGCUUGCUCCUCUGACGUUAGCGGCGGACGGGUGAGUAACACGUGGAUACCCUCCUUAUAAGACUGGGAUAACUUCGGGAAACCGGAGCAAAUACGGGAUAAUAUAUUGAACCGCAUGGUUCAAUAGUGAAAGACGGUUUUGCUGUCACUUAUCGAUGGAUCCGCGCCGUAUUAGCUAGUUGGUAAGUUAACGGCUUACCAAGGCAAGGAUGCGUAGCCGACCGGAGAGGGGGAUCGGCCACACUGGAACUGGGACACGGUCCAGGCUCCUACGGGAGGCAGCAGUAGGGAAUCUUCCGCAAUGGGCGAAAGCCUGACGGAGCAACGCCGCGUGAGUGAUGAAGGUCUUCGGAUCGUAAAACUCUGUUAUUAGGGAAGAACAAAUGUGUAAGUAACUAUGCACGUCUUGACGGUACCUAAUCAGAAAGCCACGGCUAACUACGUG
rnacentral:rRNA from 1 species